CCACCACCCUUUUCUCCCGCGUCAGCCUCCUGAGAUCAAACCGUGCUUGCUCUUCCUUCUCCUUGGCUCUGGAAGGUCCCGGUCUCUCUCCCGCACCCUCUGUACCUGAUCGCAGGUACUGCAAGAUCUGUAAGGGCGAUGCCGGGACUACGUGGAAGCCGGAAAGUGACACUAUUGACAUUCAGGGACGUAGCCAUAACAUUCUCUCCAGAGGAGUGGGAAUACCUGGACACUGCUCAGCAAAAUUUGUAUCGGGAUGUGAUGUUAGAGAACUACAGAAACCUGGUCUCUGUGGAACUUGCUGUCUUUAACCUGUACCUGGUCAUAUUUUAAAAACAAAAGAAAGAGACCUGAAAGGUAAAGAAAGAAGAUACAUUGGCCAAACACCCAGAAAAGCCAAAACUUAACCAGGCAUGGUGGCUCACGCCUGCAAUCCUAGCACUCUGGGAAGCUCAGGACGAUGGAUUGCUCAAGCUCACAAGUUCAAAACCAGCCUGAGGGAAAGUGAGACCCUUCAUCUCUAGUAAAAGUAGAAAAACUGAGGCAAGAGGAUUGCUGCAGCCCAAGAGUUGGAGGUUGCUGUGAGCUGUGAUGCCAUGACACACUACCCAGGGCGAGAGCUUGAGACUCUGUCUCAAAUUAAAAAAGAGAGAGACAGAAAACCAAAACUUGUUCCUUCUUUCUAAUUUUAAUUUUAUAAGUGUUAACCAGCCUUAUUUCAUUGUCCCUUUCCGUCAGUCUUUGAUAACCAUCGUUGUAUUCUUCAUUUUCAUAACAUUUUUCAGAUUCUACACAUGAGUAAAACCAUACAGUAUUUGUCUUUUCCUAUCUGGUUUAUUUCACUUAGCAGAAUGCCCUUCAGAUACAUCAGUGUUUGUAUGCAAAUAUCAUGUUACUUUGUUGCUAUCGCUUUUCCUAAAUUUUGAAAGGAGGUACUGUGAUGCCUCCAGAUUUGUUAUUUUUCCUCAGGAUGGCUUUGGCUAUGUAGGUUAUUUUCUACUUUCAUAUAAAUUUUAGGGUUUUAAAAAGAUUUUCUGUGAAGAAUGGUCAUUGAUAUUUCAA